rnacentral:rRNA from 1 species
UGAGCGGCAGAGCUCAGAUUUGAAAUCGUGUUUCGGCACGAGUUGUAGAGUGUAGGCGGGAGUCUCUGUGGAGCGCGGUGUCCAAGUCCCUUGGAACAGGGUGCCUGAGAGGGUGAGAGCCCCGUAGGGUGCUGCGCGAAGCUUUUGAGGCCCUGCUGACGAGUCGAGUUGUUUGGGAAUGCAGCUCCAAGCGGGUGGUAAAUUCCAUCUAAGGCUAAAUAUUGGCGAGAGACCGAUAGCGAACAAGUACUGUGAAGGAAAGAUGAAAAGCACUUUGAAAAGAGAGUGAAACAGCACGUGAAAUUGUUGAAAGGGAAGGGUAUUGGGCUCGACAUGGGGGGUGCGCACCGCUGUCUCUUGUAGGCGGCGCUCUGGGCGCCCUCUGGGCCAGCAUCGGUUCCUGCUGCGGGAGAAGGGGCUCCGGAAAGUGGCUCUUCGGAGUGUUAUAGCCGGGGCCAGAUGCCGCGUGUGGGGACCGAGGACUGCGGCUUCUGUCUCGGAUGCUGGCAUAACGGCGCAAUACCGCCCGUCUUG